CUUUGGCCCUCCAGCAAAGCCCCUCUCCAGGGAGGGGUGCUUUGCACUCACCAUCUCUGGGCUGUAGUAACCAUCCUUCCUCUUGCCUUUUCAGGCCUCUGGGUGUACCAUCUCACCACUGUUGCUGGCCCUGGUGCAAAGAGUAGUGUCCAACUCUGUGCAACCCCAUGGACUAUACAGUCCAUGGAAUUCUCCAGGCCAGAAUACUGGAGUGGGUAGCCUUUUCCUUCUCCAGGGCAUCUUCCAACCCAGGGAUCAAACCCAGGUCUCCCACACUGCGGGUGGAUUUUUUUUACCAGCUGAGCCCCAAGGGUCCUCUUAUUAACAUUUUUGGUCCCCAGGCUUGAGUGUGUCAUCUGCUUGGACUGUGACCCUGCCAAAUACAGCACAUCAGGGCAUUUAUCCUAGGCCCCCACUAAAUGGUCAACGUGUGGAGAACUAAAAAUCCCUUUUCAUUCUUUUUGUGUCUGAGGGGGGAAAUCUGUCUCCUGCUUUUGGUCUUUCACUUUUCCUUUUUCUCCAGGAAAGAUUUUGAACUUUUAGCUCCUCUUCAACUUGCCCCAGUUGAGAGUGUUUAAAUAUCAACCUAUUUCCAGGGACAUGGAAAAUAUUAAGGAAUGCAUUCUCAGACUUAUCCUGCUGUGGGCUUCAUGCAAUAGAUUGAGAUCUGAGGGUCCUGGCUUCGUCUUGAAGGCAGGCGCAACCACAAAAACUAUGCGCUGCGAUAUGAAGAGAAAUGCCAUUGUUCUUACUGGGUCAUUUCCUAUCAGAGCCCAUCAGGGGGUCCAGGCAUUUACAGUGAAGACCAGUAAUUGUACUAUCUCGCUUGGUGGGUAAGUCAUUCAGAAGGGAACAAACUGUUAAAACUGAGCCUGCUAUUUUUUUGGUGAGUAUGUUAUCAAUCUGUUUAAGUAAACUUUGGUAUUACCCAGAAGAUUGUUCUCUAAUUAUUAUAUUCUUAACGCUGUGUUCAAAUUGUGUGAAUGUCCUGUCUUAAAUGAACUCCCCUGCAUGUAGAUUUUUCAGGGAUCUCUAAAUAGAGGGUGG
rnacentral:lncRNA from 1 species